rnacentral:rRNA from 1 species
AUGGGUGCUCCUCACGGCCUCCGGCGACACGCCGCCGCCUCUGCGUGCCCCCUCCUUGCGUUCGCCGUCCUCCUCGCAUUGCCGGGCCUCGCCGCCGGUGUCACCCGGCGCUACACGUUCAAUGUGGGAAUGACGAGCGUGACGCGGCUGUGCGGCACCAAGAGCAUCCCGACGGUGAACGGGCAGUUCCCGGGGCCGAGGCUUGACGCGCGGGAGGGCGAUCGCCUCGUGGUCACCGUCCACAACCACAUGAGCCGCAACGUCUCGUUCCACUGGCACGGGCUUCGGCAGCUGCGCAACGGGUGGGCGGACGGGCCGGCGUACAUCACGCAGUGCCCGAUACAGCCAGGGCAGAGCUACGUGUACGACUUCACCGUCGCCGGGCAGCGCGGCACGCUGUGGUGGCACGCGCACCUCUCCUGGCUCCGCGUGCAUCUCUACGGGCCUCUCGUCAUCCUCCCCGAGCUCGGGGUGCCCUACCCAUUCGCCGCCCCCUACAAGGAGGUGUCCAUCAUGUUCGGCGAGUGGUUCAAGGCCGAUACGGAGUCGGUGAUCAGCCAGGCCCUUCAGACUGGCGCUGGCCCAAAUGUCUCCGACGCCUACACUUUCAAUGGGCUCCCCGGCCCAACUUAUAACUGUUCGUCGUCCAAAGACACGUACACGCUGAAGGUCCGCCCCGGGAGGACGUACAUGCUCCGGCUCAUCAACUCGGCGCUCAACGACGAGCUCUUCUUCGGGAUCGCCAACCACACGCUCACCGUCGUCGAGGCGGACGCCAACUACGUCAAGCCCUUCAGCGUCAGCACGCUCGUCAUCUCGCCGGGGCAGACCAUGAACGUGCUGCUCACCACGUCCGCCAGCCCUUCGUCCCAGGCGUUCGCCAUGGCCAUCGCGCCGUACACCAACACCCAGGGCACGUUCGACAACACCACCGCCGCGGCCGUCCUCCGGUACAACGCCCCGACGCCGCCGAGCUCCACCCAGAACCUCCCCCUGCCGGCCCUGCCGCGGUACAGCGACACCAACGCCGUGGCCAGGUUCACGAGCAACUUCCGGAGCCUCGCGAGCGCGCAGUACCCGGCGCGCGUGCCGCAGGCCGUGGACCGGCACGUCCUGUUCACCGUCGGCCUCGGCACGGACCCGUGCCCGUCCAACCAGACCUGCCAGGGCCCGAACGGCACCAAGUUCGCGGCGUCCAUCAACAACAACUCGUUCGUCCGGCCCAGGAGCGCGCUCCUCGAGGCGCACUACCAGCGCCGCUAUGCCGGCGUGCUCAUGGCCAACUUCCCGACCACGCCGCCGCACCCGUUCAACUACACCGGCACCCCGCCCAACAACACGUUCGUCGCCCACGGCACGAGGGUGGUGCCGCUCAAGUUCAACACCUCGGUGGAACUGGUGAUGCAGGGCACCGCCAUCCAGGGCGCCGAGAGCCACCCCCUGCACAUGCACGGCUUCAACUUCUUCGUGGUUGGGCAAGGCUUUGGCAACUACGACCCCAUCAACGAUCCGGCCAAGUACAACCUCGUCGACCCCGUCGAGCGGAACACCGUCAGCGUGCCCACCGCCGGCUGGGUCGCCGUGCGGUUCCUCGCCGACAAUCCCGGUGUGUGGCUUAUGCACUGCCACUUCGACGUCCACUUGAGCUGGGGACUGUCCAUGGCGUGGAUGGUCGACGACGGGCCGCUGCCCAAUCAAAAGAUGUUGCCUCCGCCGUCCGAUCUUCCGAAAUGCUGA